rnacentral:rRNA from 1 species
UGAUAGUAUCAGAAGAGGAAGAGACGGCUAACUCUGUGCCAGCAGCCGCGGUAAUACAGAGGUCUCAAGCGUUGUUCGGAUUCAUUGGGCGUAAAGGGUGCGUAGGUGGCGGGGUAAGUCAGGUGUGAAAUUUCGGAGCUUAACUCCGAAACUGCAUUUGAUACUGCCUUGCUUGAGGACUGGAGAGGAGACUGGAAUUCACGGUGUAGCAGUGAAAUGCGUAGAGAUCGUGAGGAAGACCAGUGGCGGAGGCGGGUCUCUGGACAGUUCCUGACACUGAGGCACGAAGGCCAGGGGAGCAAACGGGAUUAGAUACCCCGGUAGUCCUGGCAGUAAACGGUGCACGUUUGGUGUGGGGGGAUUCGACCCCUUCCGCGCCGGAGCUAACGCGUUAAACGUGCCGCCUGGGGAGUACGGUCGCAAGAUUAAAACCCAAAGAAAUUGACGGGGGCCCGCACAAGCGGUGGAGUAUGUGGCUUAAUUCGAUGCAACGCGAAGGACCUUACCAGGCCUUGACAUGCAUUUCUAAGUUGGUGAAAGCCAGCGAGUCUCGAAAGAGACAACUUGCACAGGUGCUGCAUGGCUGU